GAUCGGAAACCGGAAGAGAAGGAAGUUGUGGUCGAAGACGAAGCCGGCGAGCAUAUAGGCAGGAAGUCGGCAGAGAUAUUAGCGAGGUGAGUACGUUGCUUUACUGACCUCAUGAACAGUACAUGUUGUAUCUGCUGCUGCCGCUCCAGCUCCGUCAUGGAGCGCUUGAGAACACUACUGCCGCCGCUACCGCCGCCGCCUGCGGCGGAGUCGGAGAGCUGCUGGUAGGGG
rnacentral:misc_RNA from 1 species